CCUACGGGUGGCAGCAGUGGGGAAUAUUGGGCAAUGGAGGCAACUCUGACCCAGCAACGCCGCGUGAAGGAUGAAGGCCUUAGGGUCGUAAACCUAUGUUGUAAAGGAAGAAAAGAAUGACGGUACUUUACAAGAAAGUCCCGGCUAACUAUGUGCCAGCAGCCGCGGUAAGACAUAGGGGGCAAGCGUUGUUCGGAAUUACUGGGCGUAAAGGGAGCGUAGGCGGGUGUUUAAGUUAGGAGUGAAAGCCUUGGGCUCAACCGAAGAAAUGCACUUGAUCCUGGUUUUCUAGAGUGUGGAAGAGGUAAGUGGAAUUCCUAGUGUAGCGGUGGAAUGUGUAGAGAUAAGGAGGAACAUCAGAGGCGAAGGCGACUUACUGGACCAUAACUGACGCUGAGGCUCGAAAGCGUGGGGAGCAAACAGGAUUAGAUACCCGAGUAGUC
rnacentral:rRNA from 1 species